rnacentral:rRNA from 1 species
AACGGCCGUACCAUGCUGAAUAUACCGGUUCUCGUUAGAUCACCGAAGUUAAGCAUCAUUGGGCGCGGUCAGUACUUGGGUGGGUGACCACCUGGGAACACUGAGUGCCGUU